rnacentral:rRNA from 1 species
UACGUAGGGGGCAAGCGUUGUCCGGAUUUAUUGGGCGUAAAGAGCGUGUAGGCGGCCAGAUAGGUCCGUUGUUAAAACUCGAGGCUCAACCUCGAGACGCCGAUGGAAACCAUCUGGCUAGAGUCCGGAAGAGGAGAGUGGAAUUCCUGGUGUAGCGGUGAAAUGCGCAGAUAUCAGGAAGAACACCCGUGGCUAAGGCGGCUCUCUAGUACGGUACUGACGCUGAGACGCGAAAGCGUGGGGAGCGAACAGG